GUCAUUUUGAGACAUCACACUAAUAAAAGUGCCUGCCCCUUGUCACUAGGGGUUAAAGUUUGAGUAGCAUAUAUCAAGAAGGAGCAUAUUGAUAACUCAGGUUCACAACUCCAAAAUGCCAUUCUGGAAAGGUUUUUCUAGAGACAACUCGGAGCUCCAGCCUAGAAGUGGUUCUUAUCUGCAAUUACCGUAAAAGCCAUAAAAAUCCUUGAUAUUGUUAUAUGGUUCCAACAAAAUUUUGAUGUCCAGGAAAGUCAACAGAGAAAUCUAGAUCAAAGUGGACAGAAGAAGCAACUUAGCUGCAUGAGCUUCAAAAGCAUAUGACCAGGGAUUCAUUUCUGACUGCAGUGUUAGGAAAAAUCUUGGGGAAAGGAAAAAGAUGGGACAGUGGAAUAGAAACCCUAGAGUAAAAUCCAUUGAUUGGCAUUUAGUAACCAUAUAGGUAGAAAAACCUGACUCAUCCCACCCAGAGAUAACAGUAGAUAUAGAAUUUAUUCUUAAACAAUUGUUUGUUUUGUAGUUGAACUGAAUUUUAGUUACCAGAUUGGGGGAGGGGAAGGGAGGGGAGCUAGAUCUUUAAGUCUUUAAAAGAGACCAGUCAGCUUGGCACCAUCUGAAGCAAGUUGACAGUUCCAUCAGCUUGUAUCUUUCUCUUUUUAUUUCAAUAAUUUGUGUUCAAUGGUCAUUUUAAGUGUAUUAAUUCAAACAGUGUUGAAAAUAAUUUAAAUUCCAUGACAUUUUAAAGUUUUUAUUUGCAUGGGUGUUUAAAUAGUUCCAUUUUAAAUAUUGUCCCUGCAC
rnacentral:lncRNA from 1 species